GAAAUAAGAUAACAAAAAUAAGCUUCUAACUUAAUUUUUUAGCGAUGAAAUCUCGUUAUUAUUUCU
rnacentral:tRNA from 1 species